CUUGCGGCAGGUGGGUGUAGUGAAAGGCUCUGCUGCGACUGAGGAUUCUGCAGUUCUAAAUGAGCUGAAACACUGAAGUUAUGAGAUUAACAUGAUGAGAAGAGGGAUGAUGAAGAGGCAGCUGAAGGUGAAAAAGUUAUAAAAGGCCUGAUGCCACCAUUGUGGAAAACUGCAGUGUGUGACACAUUGAGAGAAACCAUCUGUCUGCCCAGAGCUGUCUGCUAAGUGGAUCAUCCGGAAGAUAUAUAACUGUAUGAGAAAAGAAAACAAUUAAAAGAUGGUGUUACUUUCUUUCAAA